UCCUAAUUCAAAUUAAAACCCUAAUUCCAUUGCCUGCCUCCUCCUCCUCCUCCUCCUCCUUUUCUUGAGUGUCUUUUCUCUCAUGUCACUGGUAUUUGAGAUUUUUACGGAUUGUACUUAUAUAAAACUCCCAUUUUUUUCCCUUACUAUAAACGAAUAUGAAUAUUUAUCAGUGUUUGUUUGCUUGCAUUCUAUCUUUGUUUGAUACGCGCUGAAGAGGACUCCUCAAUGCAAUAGCUUUAGUAUCGUGUGGUGGUUACAUGGCUGGGUCAGCAUUUGAUGUUUGCCUUACUCAUCUGAAUGUCCUUUUUUUUUUUCUGGUAAAUGAUGGGAAAACUUGAUUUUGAGGUCGAAGUUGGCUUAUCAUGUAUCUGGGUUUUUCUUUAUUAGAAAUAUAAAGAAAUAGGCAGAUUGGAAACUGAUGAAUAAAGCAGGUACUUAUGAUAGCUUGUCAUAUCUAGAUGUUCUCCUGGUGCAGCAUAUAUUGAUGUUGUGCUGAGCUUCUAUGAUAUGUCUAUAUGACUAAACCAAUUAUCUGCCAACUGAUUCCUUCUCCAUAUAUGAUAUUUGAGUUUCAAGUUUACGAGACUAAUUGCUUGUGUUGUUUAAAUUAGAGCAAUUUUUUAAUCUGUUUGCUAAGGAAGGCUAUCUGUAGCAGAUUGCUGGCUUCCUAUCUGUAAAAUGUCAGGUUUUUAAGCAGUAGCUAUUUACUGGAAGUGUUAAAACCUUCAACUUGCAUGCCGUCCAAGUCUGUUGGAUUGUGUUCUUGUUGUUCUAGAAAAGUUACAAAAGAAUUUGAUAUAGUUGGUAUCAUAUGGUUGGAUGUCAGUGAUUAAAAAGAAUCGAUGCUAUCCUUGAGAACCUAGGGUUGUGCAUAGGAAAGGGGAUAAUUGGGAACUGCCUUGAGCUUUGAAACGGGGAGCAUGUGAGGUUGUUGGAGUUACAAGUAUUAAUCACUGCAAACUAGAUUCUAAUAUGAGAUCGCAUAAGCUUGAUUUGCUAAAUUUAUCAGGUUCAUUGAUUAAGAAUAGCAGAUUACGACCAGAAAAAAGAAAAGAAAAAAGAACGGAAAUUAAGAACAGCUUAUUAACAGGAAAGUAUAUCAAAGUAUUUAUGAUUACUGUUAAUUCACUUUCAUCUACAGUUUAUUUAACCGAGUGAGGUAUCAUCCACUGCUCUUGAUCCCUUCAAUUUUUGGUUUGGAGAGAUGGCUAGAUACCUGAUACCUUAACAAGUGGAUGAGGAUUUACUAGUACAUUCACCAUGUCUGUUAAACUGUUUGGCAGUGUGCUUGAGCUUAUUGUGAAUAGUUCUUUUGUAGAAUGUUUCUUUCUGCUUUCAGGUUUUAAAUACACUUUUUACAGUUGCGUACAAGGAACUGGUGGGUACUUUAGCCACCAAAUAAUUUUAAUGUUGAUGGAGAGGUGCAAGCAGAAAUUUCCGCCGCUGAUCACAUUCUUGCCUGAUCAUUUCGCAAUCUCAAAGUAUGAGGGACGAGUUUCUUGAGGUUUGCUGAUUCUCUCAUUCAGCUGAAUCUCAAGAAAGCCUUUCCUGUUCCAUGUGAUAAAGGCAUCCUUUUAUUUGUUGCAUUCACUCUCCAACGAGUCCAAGGAAUUUCUUUCUUUCCUUUGUUUUUUUCUUUCUCUUUAUACCUAAUACAUGUGUGUGGCCAAUCUUAUUAUAUCUAGUUUUCUGCUUCAUUUCAUUUUAAAAGAAUCUGAAGAUAUCAUCAAGGCAUAUCAAAGGUGAAUGUGCAGUUCGUCUCUCCAUCAGUAGUUUGACAUGAGAAUUUUGCCUCCUAUUGUCUAAAUUAUCUUCAUGUCCUUUCUACUAUUUCUGGUCCUUUGUGCUGUCUGUACUGCUAUUAUGCGUGUGGCGGAUUGGAAUAGGGACCUGCUAGUGAAGGCAAGGAAAAAUGGUGUUGGCUUCUGCAGUUAUGGUUUUGUGAAGGAUGCAUAAAGGGAUUGCAGUCAUUUUUGGCGAGCAUGUUCCUCACAAGUUGACAUUUUCUCUAAGCUUUUGAAUGUCAUGCCCGGAACCCUGUGCUGUUCAAUUUUGUUUUUCAAACUAUGUAUCAGUUUAAAUUGUAUAGCCUUUCAUUGUUGAUGCCUGGAGUAUAUUGUUGGUAAUAAUGUGGAAAAAAUUGAGAUACGUUUUCCUUCUCCUAUUUGAAGCUGACAAAUAUUAGAUGAGACACUCAUUAUCUUCUCAUUUGUAUCAGUUACAUUUGGAGGGCAUUGAUGUGCUCUAAACCUGAAAGCAAAUCGGUGAA